UAGUGCAUUGCUCGUACACCGAUUG
rnacentral:piRNA from 1 species